rnacentral:miRNA from 1 species
CUAGUAAUAUGAUUUUUUCUGUGUUGGUGUUGUGUACUCAGGUGAAUAUGAUAUUUGUGAAACCUUCACCUGAGUACACAACACCAACACAGAAAAAAUCAUAUUGCUAG